CAAACUCCCCUUUUUUUUUUUUUUAUCAGGCCACCAAACUCUCUAUUGAACCCCUUCCCAUUCUCCUCCGGCUCGAACUCUCCGCUGGGUCCGUUGAAGGGCUGAUGCGAAUCGAAAACUUCAUCUCCGCCAGAGAAAGAGUCGAAUUGCUGUGAGUUGUAGUCGACCUAGCCACCGUUGUCUUCGUCUAAGGGGCGAGUUGACUCAGACCGAGGGACUGAGUCGUCGAACGAAUCGCCAAGAGUAUCCAUUGUUUCUGUGCCUUUUUUGUACGGACAAUCAUAAAAGCGAUGUGUUUGGGGGGCGUG
rnacentral:misc_RNA from 1 species